CCUACGGGUGGCAGCAGUGAGGAAUAUUGGUCAAUGGACGAGAGUCUGAACCAGCCAAGUAGCGUGAAGGAUGACUGUCCUAUGGGUUGUAAACUUCUUUUAUAUGGGAAUAAAAUGUUCCACGUGUGGGAUUUUGUAUGUACCAUAUGAAUAAGGAUCGGCUAACUACGUGCCAGCCGCCGCGGUAAUACGGAGGAUCCGAGCGUUAUCCGGAUUUAUUGGGUUUAAAGGGAGCGUAGGUGGAUUUGUAAGUUAGUUGUGAAAUUUUGCGGGUCAAACGUACCAUUGCUGUUGAAACUGGCAGUCUUGAGUACAGUAGAGGUGGGCGGAAUUCGUGGUGUAGCGGUGAAAUGCUUAGAUAUCACGAAGAACUCCGAUUGCGAAGGCAGCUCACUGGACUGCAACUGACACUGAGGCACGAAAGUGUGGGUAUCAAACAGGAUUAGAUACCCCUGUAGUC
rnacentral:rRNA from 1 species